CCUACGGGUGGCAGCAGUGGGGAAUAUUGCACAAUGGGCGCAAGCCUGAUGCAGCCAUGCCGCGUGUGUGAAGAAGGCCUUCGGGUUGUAAAGCACUUUCAGCGGGGAGGAAGGCGGUGAGGUUAAUAACCUCAUCGAUUGACGUUACCCGCAGAAGAAGCACCGGCUAACUCCGUGCCAGCAGCCGCGGUAAUACGGAGGGUGCAAGCGUUAAUCGGAAUUACUGGGCGUAAAGCGCACGCAGGCGGUCUGUCAAGUCGGAUGUGAAAUCCCCGGGCUCAACCUGGGAACUGCAUUCGAAACUGGCAGGCUAGAGUCUUGUAGAGGGGGGUAGAAUUCCAGGUGUAGCGGUGAAAUGCGUAGAGAUCUGGAGGAAUACCGGUGGCGAAGGCGGCCCCCUGGACAAAGACUGACGCUCAGGUGCGAAAGCGUGGGGAGCAAGCAGGAUUAGAUACCCGAGUAGUC
rnacentral:rRNA from 1 species